AAAGAGGUUUUUACCGCCAUCUCUAUACACGAGGAGGAAUCAAAGUCACAACAAUAGUUAGUUUCAAUCUAAACUCUUUAAAAAAAAAAAAUCUAAGAAUACAAAGCUAGAUUAAGCAACAAAGCCCUAACUUCUCAUCAACAGCAUCUAAAUUAGCAGCACUCAUAAACCACUGGAAGUUAGAUAUUGGAGGAAACUAAAUCAUAUGAUUUGGGCUCUUAGUUAGUGAGCAAAUGCAAAUGGUUUAGCUUCCUCCAACUCUCCCUUUCAGGAUCCAUGGCAUCUUUCUCACAAUAAUGUUAUAGUGAUUUCACAAACCAUCGAAGGUAAAAUAUUGGAGGAAACGAAAGCAAAUAUGAUAAAUGUUUUGGGUUCCUCCAACUCUUACUUUCAAGAUAUGUGCACGGCCAUUGGCCAAAGCUUGAACUGCUUCUUGCAAUGAAGAUUCUAUUUAUAGAGAUAAAUAUGCUGCUAACGGGCACAUAUUUGUUUAGGAAGAAUACCAUGUGCAAUUCCUGAAGCCAUCUCAUGCAUAUUUUCCACUAGUCAUGAGAGGCGUGUGUGAGAGAUUCCAUUUGGAGGCUAUUGCUACGAGAUGCAAGUAUCAAUAAAUGUGAAAUUUGAGUGUGGGGACAAUAAGUGAAAAGUGUAAAAAGGUAAUUAGAUUCAUAAAUCUGAGAGAUAGAAUUGAAUGUGUAUAAAUUCUAAUGGUGAAAAACACACACACAUAUAUCGUAGAACAACCCCUAUUUGGAGCUCGUGUGAAGGGCAGUUCUAUGAUUGAACCGACAAGUGUCCUGCCCUGGCCCGAGUACAAGUCAAAAUGAGUGGUUUUGAAGAACAAUGUUGUCACAAUGGGAUAAUGUUAAAGAAUGGUAAAUGUCUGUCUCAACAGCAAUAUUUUUGAAUGUUAAAAGAAGAAUGUGGGUUUGAUCCAUAUGUGUUUGCAAGGGAAGGAACCUUUCUCACAGAUUAUUGCUACCAACUUUUUCGAAGGCUAUGGUUUUUCUUUUCUUUUUUCUCUAAAAUAGAGAGAUGAUGUGUUCAAUCAAGUGAAAAGCAAAGGUACAAAACCGAAGGAGGCCUAUCACCUCGCCUGAACAAUUAGCAGAUACAAAGUAAAAAUAAAGAGACUACCGAGUCAGGGCAAUUCUUGCCACAUGAUGGGCAGCCCAGUUUACCUCUCGCCUAAUGAAUUUAAAAGGAACAAACCAGAAAACAGCUAUAGAUACAACUAUCAUCAUCAAUGAUGAUUUCAAUGGAUUGCAAAGGAGGAACUCUCCUAGCCGCAGCUUCAAAUGAUAGAGCAUCACCUUCGAAGAUUACUCUCUGCAGACCUUGGUCCUUAGCAGCCAACACAGCUUCCAUCAAGCCCAAUGCUUCCAAGACUACAGGAUCAACUUGAUCAGGCACCCUCUUACAUCCUUCAAACGAUACAGCACAUGUUGUCCUUGGCCACGAAUCCAGUUCCACCACAUCUCUCCGCUAGAUUGGUCGCUGCAUCAAAACUAAUUUUAACAACACUCAACUCAGGGUGGACCAGGAGGUCAUGUUCCCAGUACGAACCAGUGUUUUCCCCUCGACAGCAAUCAUUCUGGGUCCUAGGAGCCUGGAGAUAAUCCUCAUACAGCCUUUGAGCUUAGAUUAAUAAUCUCCAUACCUGACCAAUCUUUACCUGAAAGAAAAAUUCGUUCCAGGCUAUCCAGAGGAACCACAGAAUGUAAAGUGCCCAGUUAUUCAUCCCCCAACUAUCUUGAUGGUUCUAUAACCAGUUCGAGAUGCUAAACCAAACCUCCAUCGGGUAGUUACCUUCUAACCUAUCAAUUCUGAAGUUGAGAGGGAGAGAAACCACACUUGGCACUCCAAGUCACAGUGACAUAGAGCAUGCAAGAGAGGAGAGGACAUACAUUUUCCAAAUAAUUUAUAUCGGCUGAGAAGCUCACCGGAUUCAUAAAGAAAUUACUUCUGAUCAGGAGGUCUGUAGUCUGUACAGUUUAAUAUUAUGUUGAAUAGUGUCUUUGUUUUCAAGUUGUUGAAAUAUCAAUUAGUCCAAUAUUAGUCCAAUAGCAUAGCUAUUCAAUAGUACAUGGUCCACAGAGUAAUUAAUAAUUACAGCAUAUAUACUCCAUCUUGUUCUUCCAUAAGACAGAGUAGUAGUACCAAGCAUGAAGCCUUCAUGCAUA
rnacentral:misc_RNA from 1 species